rnacentral:rRNA from 1 species
UAGGGAAUCUUCGGCAAUGGACGAAAGUCUGACCGAGCAACGCCGCGUGAGUGAAGAAGGUUUUCGGAUCGUAAAACUCUGUUGUUAGAGAAGAACAAGGACGUUAGUAACUGAACGUCCCCUGACGGUAUCUAACCAGAAAGCCACGGCUAACUACGUGCCAGCAGCCGCGGUAAUACGUAGGUGGCAAGCGUUGUCCGGAUUUAUUGGGCGUAAAGCGAGCGCAGGCGGUUUCUUAAGUCUGAUGUGAAAGCCCCCGGCUCAACCGGGGAGGGUCAUUUGAAACUGGGAGACUUGAGUGCAGAAGAGGAGAGUGGAAUUCCAUGUGUAGCGGUGAAAUGCGUAGAUAUAUGGAGGAACACCAGUGGCGAAGGCGGCUCUCUGGUCUGUAACUGACGCUGAGGCUCGAAAGCGUGGGGUGCAAACAGG